GAACUGCGAUAAGUAAUGUGAAUUGCAGAAUUCAGUGAAUCAUCGAGUCUUUGAACGCACAUUGCGCCCCCUGGCAUUCCGGGGGGCAUGCCUGUCCGAGCGUAAUUGCUGCCCUUCAAGCCCGGCUUGUGUGUUGGGUCGUCGUCCCCUCCGGGGGACGGGUCCGAAAGGCAGCGGCGGCACCGCGUCCGGUCCUCGAGCGUAUGGGGCUUUGUCACCCGCUCGAUAAGGACCGGCCGGGCGCCAGCCGGCGUCUCCAACCUUUUUUUCUCAGGUUGACCUCGGAUCAGGUAGGGAUACCCGCUGAACUUAAGC
rnacentral:misc_RNA from 1 species